AAGAAUUUAGUUAAAUUAAUAAUAUUAGUUUGUCAAACUAAAGUUACUAAAAAUUAGUAAUUCUUA
rnacentral:tRNA from 1 species